AUUGAACGCUGGCGGCAGGCCUAACACAUGCAAGUCGAACGGUAGCACAGAGGAGCCUGCUCCUUGGGUGACGAGUGGCGGACGGGUGAGUAAUGUCUGGGAAACUGCCCGAUGGAGGGGGAUAACUACUGGAAACGGUAGCUAAUACCGCAUAACGUCUUCGGACCAAAGUGGGGGACCUUCGGGCCUCACACCAUCGGAUGUGCCCAGAUGGGAUUAGCUAGUAGGUGGGGUAAUGGCUCACCUAGGCGACGAUCCCUAGCUGGUCUGAGAGGAUGACCAGCCACACUGGAACUGAGACACGGUCCAGACUCCUACGGGAGGCAGCAGUGGGGAAUAUUGCACAAUGGGCGCAAGCCUGAUGCAGCCAUGCCGCGUGUAUGAAGAAGGCCUUCGGGUUGUAAAGUACUUUCAGCGGGGAGGAAGGCGUUAAGGUUAAUAACCUUAGCGAUUGACGUUACCCGCAGAAGAAGCACCGGCUAACUCCGUGCCAGCAGCCGCAGUAA
rnacentral:rRNA from 1 species